ACGAACGCUGGCGGCGUGCUUAACACAUGCAAGUCGAACGGAAAGGCCUCUUUCGGGGGGUACUCGAGUGGCGAACGGGUGAGUAACACGUGAGUAACCUGCCCUUGACUUUGGGAUAACUUCAGGAAACUGGGGCUAAUACCGGAUAGGAGCUCCUGCUGCAUGGUGGGGGUUGGAAAGUUUCGGCGGUUGGGGAUGGACUCGCGGCUUAUCAGCUUGUUGGUGGGGUAGUGGCUUACCAAGGCUUUGACGGGUAGCCGGCCUGAGAGGGUGACCGGCCACAUUGGGACUGGGAUACGGCCCAGACUCCUACGGGAGGCAGCAGUGGGGAAUAUUGCACAAUGGGUGGAAGCCUGAUGCAGCAACGCCGUGUGCGGGAGGACGGCCUUCGGGUUGUAAACCGCUUUCGCUCAUGACGAAGCUUUGUGUGACGGUAGUGGGUAAAGAAGCACCGGCUAACUACGUG
rnacentral:rRNA from 1 species